ACUUACGGCCAUACCAUCCUGAAUACGCCCGAUCUCGUCUGAUCUCGGAAGCUAAGCAGGGUCGGGCCUGGUUAGUACUUGGAUGGGAGACUCCCUGGGAAUACCAGGUGCUGUUAGUG
rnacentral:rRNA from 1 species